rnacentral:rRNA from 1 species
AGAUUGAACGCUGGCGGCAUGCCUUACACAUGCAAGUCGAACGGCAGCACGGGAGCAAUCCUGGUGGCGAGUGGCGAACGGGUGAGUAAUACAUCGGAACGUGCCCAAUCGUGGGGGAUAACGCAGCGAAAGCUGUGCUAAUACCGCAUAAGAUCUACGGAUGAAAGCAGGGGAUCGCAAGACCUUGCGCGAAUGGAGCGGCCGAUGGCAGAUUAGGUAGUUGGUGAGGUAAAGGCUCACCAAGCCUUCGAUCUGUAGCUGGUCUGAGAGGACGACCAGCCACACUGGGACUGAGACACCGGCCAGACCUCGUACGGGAGGCAGCAGUAGGGGAAUUUGG